rnacentral:tRNA from 2 species
GGAGAGAUGGCUGAGUGGUUUAAGGCGCACGACUGGAAUUCGUGUGUGCAUGCAAGUGCACCCAGGGUUCGAAUCCCUGUCUCUCCG